GAUGAACGCUAGCGGCAGGCUUAAUACAUGCAAGUCGUACGGCAGCAACACCUUCGGGUGGUUGGCGAGUGGCGCACGGGUGAGUAACGCGUACGAAAUCUACCUUUCACAGGGGGAAAGUCGCUGGAAACGGCGAAUAAUCCCGCAUAACACUAUUAUAUCGCAUGGUAAAAUAGUCAAAGCUACGGUGGUGAAAGAUGAUCGUGCGUUCCAUUAGCUAGUUGGUAAGGUAACGGCUUACCAAGGCAACGAUGGGUAGGGGGCGUGAGAGCGUGAUCCCCCACACGGGUACUGAGACACGGACCCGACUCCUACGGGAGGCAGCAGUAAGGAAUAUUGGUCAAUGGAGGCAACUCUGAACCAGCCAUGCCGCGUGUGUGAUGAAGGCCCUACGGGUUGUAAAGCACUUUUAUAUAGGAAGAAUGACAGGGAUUUAUCCUUGGAGAGACGGUACUAUAAGAAUAAGCACCGGCUAACUCCG
rnacentral:rRNA from 1 species